rnacentral:rRNA from 1 species
UGGGGAAUUGUUCGCAAUGGGCGCAAGCCUGACGACGCAACGCCGCGUGGAGGAUGAAGAAUUUCGGUUCGUAAACUCCUUUCGAUCGGGAAGAACAGCUUUCGGGUGAAUAGCCUGAGAGUCUGACGGUACCGAGAGAAGAAGCCCCGGCUAACUCUGUGCCAGCAGCCGCGGUAAUACAGGGGGGGCAAGCGUUGUUCGGAAUUACUGGGCGUAAAGGGCUCGUAGGCGGCCAACUAAGUCCGACGUGAAAUCCCAAAGCUUAACUUUGGAACUGCGUCGGAUACUGGAUGGCUUGAAUUCGGGAGAGGGAUGCAGAAUUCCAGGUGUAGCGGUGAAAUGCGUAGAUAUCUGGAGGAAUACCGGUGGCGAAGGCGGCAUCCUGGACCGACAUUGACGCUGAGGUGCGAAAGCUAGGGGAGCAAACGGGAUUAGAUACCCCGGUAGUCCUAGCCCUAAACGAUGAAUGCUUGGUGUGGCGGGUAUCGAUCCCUGCCGUGCCGAAGCUAACGCAUUAAGCAUUCCGCCUGGGGAGUACGGUCGCAAGGCUGA